UGAUGUGAGGGUAAUCUGGCUGUGCCAGGGUUGAUUAGGCUGACCUGGCUGAUUAGGCAGGUGCCCUUCCUUCCUCCCUCACUGCUCCCUGUGCAUCCCUCCCAAAGCUGCACGCCUGACCGAAGAGGACAACCUUCCCUGACUAAAGGAGGACCAUCUUCAGUCAAGGGUAUAGGAGUAGCUGAGCUCCCCUGCUAGAACCUCCACCUAAGCUCUCAAGGAAUACAAACUACUUAAUGCUUUCUGUGGCUUUCUCCUACCAG
rnacentral:sRNA from 1 species